UACGUAGGGUGCAAGCGUUGUCCGGAAUUAUUGGGCGUAAAGAGCUCGUAGGCGGUUUGUCGCGUCGAAUGUGAAAACCCGGGGCUCAACCCCGGGCCUGCAUUCGAUACGGGCAGACUAGAGUUCGGUAGGGGAGUCUGGAAUUCCUGGUGUAGCGGUGAAAUGCGCAGAUAUCAGGAGGAACACCAAUAGCGAAGGCAGCUCGCUGGGACGUUACUGACACUGAGGCGCGAAAGCGUGGGGAGCGAACAGG
rnacentral:rRNA from 1 species